rnacentral:ncRNA from 1 species
CUCUAAUACAUUUUCUAGAUUAUAUAUUUUACGGAAUAUAUACAAUGAAAGUAUUAGUAUUAAAGAGAUUUAUCCCAUCCUAAUUUAGGUAAACAUGAAUCAGCAUGCAACAUAUAAGUAGGCUUUUAUAAGUAGAACUUAUGUGGCAUGC